rnacentral:rRNA from 1 species
AGAGUUUGAUCCUGGCUCAGAAUGAACGCUGGCGGCGUGCUUAACACAUGCAAGUCGAACGGUAACAGAAGGAGCUUGCUCCUUGCUGACGAGUGGCGCACGGGUGAGUAAUAUAUAGAUAAUGUGCCUCCGAGACUGGGAUAGCCAUUGGAAACGAUGAUUAAUACCAGAUACUCCUUCUUAUCAAAAGAUAAGUCGGGAAAUGUUUUUUCGCUCGGAGAUCGGUCUAUAUCCCAUCAGUUAGUUGGUAAGGUAACGGCUUACCAAGGCGAUGACGGGUAGCGGGUUUGAGAGGAUGAUCCGCCACACUGGUACUGAGACACGGACCAGACUCCUACGGGAGGCAGCAGUGAGGAAUAUUGCACAAUGGGGGGAACCCUGAUGCAGCAACGCCGCGUGGAGGAUGACGCAUUUCGGUGUGUAAACUCCUUUUAUAUGUCAAGAAAAUGACGGUAGCAUAUGAAUAAGCACCGGCUAACUCCGUGCCAGCAGCCGCGGUAAUACGGAGGGUGCAAGCGUUAUUCGGAAUCACUGGGCGUAAAGGACGCGUAGGCGGGUUAGAAAGUCAGGUGUGAAAGCCUACAGCUCAACUGUAGAACUGCACUUGAAACUCCUAACCUAGAGUAUGGGAGGGGGAGAUGGAAUUAGUGGUGUAGGGGUAAAAUCCGUAGAUAUCACUAGGAAUACCGAAAGCGAAGGCGAUCUCCUGGAACAUUACUGACGCUAAGGCGUGAAAGCGUGGGGAGCAAACAGGAUUAGAUACCCUGGUAGUCCACGCCCUAAACGAUGUUCACUAGUCGUCGGGAUGCUAGUCAUCUCGGUGAUGCACUUAACAGAUUAAGUGAACCGCCUGGGGAGUACGGUCGCAAGAUUAAAACUCAAAGGAAUAGACGGGGACCCGCACAAGUGGUGGAGCAUGUGGUUUAAUUCGAAGAUACGCGAAGAACCUUACCUAGCCUUGACAUUGAUGGAAUCUUUCAGAGAUGAGAGAGUACCCUUCGGGGAGCCUGAAAACAGGUGCUGCACGGCUGUCGUCAGCUCGUGUCGUGAGAUGUUGGGUUAAGUCCCGCAACGAGCGCAACCCUCGUCCUUAGUUGCUAGCAGUUCGGCUGAGCACUCUAAGGAGACUGCCUUCGCAAGGAGGAGGAAGGUGAGGACGACGUCAAGUCAUCAUGGCCCUUAUGGCUAGGG